rnacentral:rRNA from 1 species
UACGUAGGUGGCAAGCGUUGUCCGGAAUUAUUGGGCGUAAAGCGCGCGUAGGUGGCCAUUUAAGUCCGCUGUGAAAGUCAGAGGCUCAACCUUUGAAAGCCGGUGGAUACUGGAUGGCUAGAGUACGGAAGAGGCGAGUGGAAUUCCUGGUGUAGCGGUGAAUGCGCAGAUAUCAGGAGGAACACCGGUGGCGAAGGCGGGUCUCUGGGCCGAUACUGACGCUGAGGAGCGAAAGCGUGGGGAGCGAACAGG